rnacentral:ncRNA from 1 species
UGCUUUAGAACUCAAGACAGAUCCGCGGCCGCAAGCGCUGCGGGACACGCUCGCCACGCCGGCAGCGAGCAGCAGGUGGCAGAACCUCUGCCAGGCCUCCCGAGAGGCCAACGGGAACAGUACAGUCAAC